AUCCUCCAUUGUUAUUGUGUUUUAAACGUUUGCAUUACUUAAAAAUGAUAUGUCAAAAUUGUAUGUAUUAAUAGAGUAAUUUCAUUAUGGAGAAACAUAUUUCUGUAAAAUUAAAAGUUCAUUCAAGGUGUUUGUUAAUUGUCCCCUACCGGUUUCACCGGAGCCUCCCGGGACUUAUGGUUUGCGCUCUGUCUGUCAGUCUUUCUGUCUGUCUGUCCGUCACACUUUUCUGGAUCCUGCGAUAACUUUAAAAGUUCUUCAUACUUUUUCAUGAAACUUGAAGCAUGGAUAGAUGGCAAUAUGGACAUUAUGCACGUCAUUUCAUUUUGUUCCUACGUUAAAAAUUCUGGUUGCUAUAGCAACAAAUAGACUAGAAAUACUGCUGAAAAUGGUGGUUUUCUGGAUCCUGCGAUAACUUUAAAAGUUCUUCAUAUUUUUUCAUGAAACUUCAAACAUGGAUAAAUGGCAAUAUGAACAUUAUGCAUGUCAUUUCAUUUUGUUCCUACGUCAAAAAAUCUGGUUGCUAUGGCAACAAAUAUUUUUUUUGUAAAUCUGACAAAUGUGGAAUUUCUGACAAUGGUGGAGCCGGUAGAGGAAAAAAUAUGCUUGGCAAUAGUCUUGUUCUCCAUAAUUGUUGGCAAUUUUUGAAUUGUUGUUCUGUUUUAAAAGAAUAGUUUUAUUUAAAGUUGUCCUCAAACAUAUGUGUGUAACAGAUUAUUUAUUAGUUAAAAUUGUUUAAAGCAGAAAUCGCAUUUAUUACUGUUAUUGCCUUUAUGAUAAACUCUGUAAAAAGGCUAAUUACUGUAAUGCUAUGUGUAUCCAUACUAAUUGAACAGAUUAUACAUUUAUUAUUUCAUGUUGUGUUGAGAGUUAUUUAGCUUUGUACAAAAACAAUAUGCAUACCUGCAGUGUAGAUAUUAUGAAUGAACAUUAAUAUUUUUGUUUUCAGCUGUUGUGUAUGUAAUGUUUAUUAUUAUGUACAAUCAAUAAAUGGUUGUUUGCUCAUUUGAUGCAAAGUUCAUCAAUUAGUUCUCUAUGCGCAUGCUGUGUAGCCUUCUAUGAACUAAAGAUCAACAUUUCAGACACAUUAAACUAAAUUUGUGAAAAAACUAACAAUUUCAGCAAUAUGAUUUGUGUCAUGUUGAUUGAAUUCUCUGAGCUUGCCCUAUCAGGCUAUCUGUGUAUAUAAUAUGGUAUCAGACAUAUGUCAAAGUUACCAAGUUAGCAUGUGCAAGAGUCUGGUUCUGGGAAAAUGGCACUUAAUGCAUGUGCAUACAGUGUCCUCCCAAUUUAUCCUUUGUGGACAACAUGUUCCAGUUUCAUGGUAUUUUUCUUUUAACAGAAGUCUCUGCUUAGCAAAAAUCCAGUUUAGACAGAAAAUGUUGUCCCUGAUUAGCCUGUGCAGACUGCACUUGCUUAUCUUUAAGGACACUUAACACACAUCCAGUAAGCCUGGUUUUAAGGACACUUAACACACAUCCAGUAAGCCUGGUUUUGCUAAUCUUUAAGGACACUUAACACACAUCCAGUAAGCCUGGUUUUGCUAAUUUUUAAGGACACUUAACACACAUCCAGUAAGCCUGGUUUUGCUAAUCUUUAAGGACACUUAACACACAUCCAGUAAGCCUGGUUUUGCUAAUCUUUAAGGACACUUAACACACAUCCAGUAAGCCAGGUUUUGCUAAUCUUUAAGGACACUUAACACACAUCCAGUAAGCCUGGUUUUGCUAAUCUUUAAGGACACUUAACACACAUCCAGUAAGCCUGGUUUUGCUAAUCUUUAAGGACACUUAACACACAUCCAGAAAGCCUGGUUUUGCUAAUCUUUAAGGACACUUAACACACAUCCAGAAAGCCUGGUUUUGCUAAUCUUUAAGGACACUUAACACACAUCCAGUAAGCCAGGUUUUGCUA